CGCACAUUGCGCUCACCGGUAUUCCGGUGAGCAUGUCUGUUUGAGCGUCAUUACAACCCUCGGUCCACACCGGUUUUGAGCGAGCGCUGGGUCUUACCACCCGAGCUGGCUUUAAAGUUGUAAGCUCUGCUGGCUGCCCCGCCCGACUUGAACAUAGUAAACUUUGCUUGUUCGCGGUUGAGGUGGAAGCGGUACGGCCUGAACAAUACCUACCAUACUUUUAAGGUUUGACCUCAGAUCAGAUAAGGAUACCCGCUGAACUUAA
rnacentral:misc_RNA from 1 species